rnacentral:lncRNA from 1 species
AUGAUGGCUUCAGACUGUAUAAUAUAUGCAUAUUUUAUAUACAUAUAUUAAAUUUUUAUAGUCUGGUCUUGAAAAUAGAAUCAUGUUUGCUUCUAGUAUUUUUAGCACUUAAUUACGGAGAACAGAUGCCUGUUCCUUCGUAAGCAAAAUACUGUAUGUGUAGUAUGAGUCAUUAUCUAUCACUAUAUAUGAACUAAACAAGUUCGUGAAAGAAUAAUAAAGGGAUGGAAAUGGCUCAUACUUGCACCUUUAAAGCAUUUUCUGUUUAACAUCCCCAUUUGUUUUAUUUCUUCUUUCCUAGACUGACCACUUCGUCAAUUACACGUGACGUUGUCUCUCGUGGCGUGCAUCCGUCUCCCUGUCCCAUCCCUCACCCCCCAUGGGUGUCAGUGUUGUCCUCUCUGGGGAUCCAGGAAUUGGUAUCCCAGGGUGGAAUUUUGUCUGUCCAGACUCCGGAUGCUUCCAGGUGUGCGUCAGUUGGUGGUUCCUUUUUUUCAGCAUUACGUGGAAACCCACAGCAACAAGGCUUGAAUACAGGACUUUCUUCAAUAACUACCGUCCCUAUGUACAAAGUUCGGCAUGCUCGGUGUUUUACCAUAACCCACCGUAAUAUGGCAUGCCAGUUCACUUUAUAUCAGUUUAGUUUCCAUUUGCACGUUUCAUUUUAUAUGAAAUAUAUAUAUAUAUUAAAAAAUUCAGAAUUUUUUAAUUAUUAUAUUAUUUUUGGAUCUUUCAGUUAAGGCAGCUGCCAGAUUAGCCACUUUGUUUAAAAUAUAUUUGUAUAUGAAACAAAUUUAUAUAUAUUAAGUAUGGCAGCUUAAAUUGAGUUGCAAUUUUAUCACCAACUUAAUUAUAUUUUUUUACACCAAAAUGUGCUUAAAAGAGAACUAAAUGGUGAAGUUCGGAAACAGAAUAUGUUUGAUAUUUUUCCUAUUUUUUUUUUUUUUUUAAAGUGUGGAACCGAGUUUGAUAC